rnacentral:lncRNA from 1 species
AUAGUUUCUUUGCUAUCUUUAGACUUAUUAAAGUAAGAAGUUUUAUAAUGGCAAUGCAAAAACUGAUUUUUGUAAAGUCUGAGGUAGUCUAAAGACUGUGUGAUGAGAAUACCAUGGCAGGGCAAACACAUGCAUGCUAUUAAUGCCUGGAUCAUCGUUAACUCAUUUCUCUGGAAACCCCUUACCUUCAGCUGCUAGGACAGCUCAGGCAUGAUAACUACAUGAAGCUCCAAGUCCAUUUCCACACCCUUUAUGCAGGCUGCAGGGCAAGCCUGAAGCUGUAAGAGUCAGCCAGAUGGGUCAUAAUUUUCAACUCUAUUAAAUUCCUGCACCUUAACUGCAAAAACACAACCCUUGUGAGAGAUUUCCUUAAUGAUUUUAUUGAUAGCUUACAUUUUGAGUUUACUGACUUGCUGAUACUCUUUGGUCAAGUCCUUUAAACUGUGCUUCAUUUGCCAUCUGAAUAAAGCCUUGUUUUCCUAUUUCAGGGAGACAUGCUGUGCGGAAAUUAGAUGGUUUUUAAAGCACUCUGAUGAUGGAAAAGAUACGCAAGUACAAGUGAUAUCACCUGACAACAUUUGCUUACUAUUAAGGCUUCUCAGCCAGAAGAAUAUCCUGAAGGAAAUUACUGUCAGCAUCCAAAAAAAGUAUCUGCAAUUCAUCCUAAAGAACUGUCAACUUAAAGUAUUUUUCUGCUUUUUGAGUUCAGGCUGAAGUGGUAAGUUUGAAAAUCCAUAAAUCAAAUCAUAUUACUAAAGGAAAUAUGUAUCUCUUUUUUCAAAUACUCCAUUUUCCUAAAACUUCAUUGUAAGCAUAGAUUUUAAUAAUUAAAUCUUCAAUUACUAGAAACAGGAAGGAAAUAUUGUGAACUGUAUUCUGUACAUUGUUGGAAGGCAGACAAUAGAAAAACCAGCUAACUAUUGCCAAUUCAACCCUA